UACGGAGGUGGCAAGCGUUAUCCGGAUUUACUGGGUGUAAAGGGCGUGUAGGCGGGGACGCAAGUCAGAUGUGAAAACCACGGGCUCAACCUGUGGCCUGCAUUUGAAACUGUGUUUCUUGAGUACUGGAGAGGCAGACGGAAUUCCUAGUGUAGCGGUGAAAUGCGUAGAUAUUAGGAGGAACACCAGUGGCGAAGGCGGUCUGCUGGACAGCAACUGACGCUGAGGCGCGAAAGCGUGGGGAGCAAACAGG
rnacentral:rRNA from 1 species